AACGUAGGAUCCAAGCGUUAUCCGAAUUUACUGGGCGUAAAGCGCGUGUAGGCGGUGUGGUAAGUUGGAUGUGAAAUCUCCCGGCUCAACUGGGAGAGGUCAUUCAAGACUGCGCACUAGAGGACGGUAGAGGGAGGUGGAAUUCCCGGUGUAGUGGUGAAAUGCGUAGAUAUCGGGAGGAACACCAGUGGCGAAGGCGGCCUCCUGGGCCGUUCCUGACGCUCAGACGCGAAAGCUAGGGUAGCAAACGGGAUUAGAUACCCCCGUA
rnacentral:rRNA from 1 species